UAGGAAAUCCCGGUGUUCCGCGUAUAUACUUUCGUGUAGUGUAGUUAAAAGGCAUGAAAUAAACAAGUCACCGAAAAAUGAGCAAACCUGUCCUUCCAUUGUAGUUCCACGGGCGACUUCUCUAGUAGCUGCUUUGGAGGACGAAUAUGGCCACUGCCAGCGGUGACACAACCGUGCCCGAACUUACAGAGGAGCAAAGGAAGGCAAUAGCCGAAAAACGUGAGCGUGCCAUUCAAAUAAGGAAGGCCAAGUUGGCAUUAAGGAGCAUUACUGAAAGUGCUGGUGGCUCUCCAACGAAGCAGCAGCGAGUUGUUGACACAGGUGGUGGCUUUCUACUCGACAAUGGUACUCCCACGUCACAAUUGGUACCAACACCACCAACAACAGUGGAGAUGCCCUCAGAACACUCCACAUGUGGUGAUUGCGGCAAGCAGUUCUUAAUGUCGUUCCUGCUGGAGAAGUUUGCAUUGGAAAUAUGUGAUAAUUGCAGAGACAAGGAGGACAAGCACAAGCUUGUUACGCGAACAGACUGCAAGAAUGAAUACCUGCUCAAGGACUGUGACCUUGACUUACGGGAGCCACCGUUGAAGUAUAUCCUCAAGCCUAACCCACACCAUGCUCAUGGCAACAUGAAGCUCUACCUGAAGUGCCAGGUGUCCCACUGCAUUGGUGCAAGACAGGCCAGUUUAGUGUUGAAGAGCGGGCAAUAGUGGUCUGGGGAUCCCUGGAAGCCCUAGAUGAGCAGCUAGAGAAAAAGGAUGAAGAGAGAUCCAAGAGAAAACGAAAAGCAUUUAAUAAACGUGUCAAAGAGCUGAGGAUGACCGUAAGAAGCAGUUUGUACCGUCCACUUGGGCAGAACCACGAACACACCUAUGGACCCGAGUCGCAUGACUCGGACAUAGAUGAAUACUUCAAAAUUUGCACCAGCUGUGGCCACCGAAUGAACUAUGAGAAGAUGUGACUUGUUUAUGCAAUAAACUUAAUGUACAUAAUGCUAAAA